UGGUAUAGUGGUGCUUGAAAUUCAAAAAUAUGCUUUGAUAGUUCUUGAUUUUUCAGGGGUAGAAUUUGGAUGCAGGCUGGUUUCAGAAGCAACCCUGCAACCAAUGACUGGAUUCCCAAGACGGAUGAAGAUCAAUCUGGUCUUCGUUUCCUCAAAGCUAGCCAAAUGGAAGUGAAACUGAGAGUUGUGCAUUGCUCAAAAAAACAUUUCAGCUUUUGCACUUCCAGGGCGGAAGUAGUUUUUGAGGAACUUAAGAAGAGCUGGUAAUGCUGUAAUUUUUUUACUGAAUAUUCAUAUCAGCAUGUAA